ACCUGGUUGGCUCGGUGGAGUAUGCAGCUUUUGAUUUCAGGGUUGUGGGUUUAAGCCCCACACUGGGUA
rnacentral:tRNA from 1 species